rnacentral:lncRNA from 1 species
UUUUUGUUUUCUUAUAAUAUCUUUCUUCACAUCCAAAUUGAGGUACUAUUUUAUCUUUGCAACAUUCUAAAUUUCUUAUUAAUUUAUUUUCUAUUUUUAUUUCUUCUCUAUAUUUUUCACAUAAAUUUCUAUACCAUUGUUGUAAAAAUUUUAUUCUUGCUCCUAGGGUAUCUACUAUUUUUGCUUUAUCCCAACUCUUUAUUAUUUUUGAACUAAAUGGUUCAGGUAUUUUACUAAAAUAUAAUUUCCUUAUCUCCUUACUUUCCUGUGUAUUAUAUGUUCCUUUAUAAUAAUAUUCUUUAAAUGUGCACGUAUAUUCAUCUAUAUAACAUAUAUUAUAUAUUGCUAAUUUUAACAUUAAAUUCCUAUUCGUAUAUUUUUCUUUAUUAUGUUCUUCUUCUUCUUCUGUCGUUAUACUACUAAAUUCAUCUCUUAUAGCUACUUCAGAUUUUUUCAAUAUUUCUGUUGAUGAUAUUUUAGUAAUUGUUGAUGUUCCUUCUAUUUUUUUAUCAGAUCUUAAUACUUUUUUACUUACUUCGGCUAGGUUUAAAAACCAUAAUUUUACUAUUCCUACUAACGUUCUUUCUACAUAUUCUGGUGUAUUUUUAUAUCUAUAUUAUUAUUUAAUAAUUAUUUUGACAUGUAUCCUGCCCAUAGUUUUAUUGUUUUAUUUGUGUCUAUUACACAGUCUAAAUUUAGAAAAUAAUAAUUUUUAUUAGUUAUUUGAUUUAGUGUCCAUUUAUUAUAUUCAUUUUUUAGGUUAUAUUUUUUAAACUUAUCUUNNNNNNNNNNNNNNNNNNNNNNNNNNNNNNNNNNNNNNNNNNNNNNNNNNNNNNNNNNNNNNNUAUUAAUUACUUCUUGUUUUUCAUUAAUUUCUAACUUUUCUAUAUUUGUUAAGAUUUCUGUAUAUCUUUUAACUAUCUUCCGAAUCAUAAUUAUCUGUUUAUUCAGCAUCUAUUGUAUUUAUUUCUAAUUCACUGGUUUUUGAUUCUUUAUUUUUUAUUUCUAAUUUUUGUUUAAAUUGAUCUAUCUCCAUUAAUAAUUUUUGUUCUUUAUCCUUUUCUUUUUUUUCUUUCUGUCUUUUUUCAUACAGGUAUUUUAGCAUUUGUAGUUCUUUUUCUAGUUCAGCAAUCUUGUUUUUUUUUGUCUCUUCUAUUUUUCAUAUUUCUUCUAUAGUUUGUUGUUUUAUCUUAUCUAUUUCCUUUUUUCUGUCUAUUUCUUCGUUUUCUCUUUCUAUUCUUAUCAUGGCCUCUUCUAAUUUUAAUUCUUCUUUUCCUAACAUUAAAUAUAAAUGUUCACCUAUUUUAUUAUAUCUUCUUCCUAAAUUAGAGCAUACUAUUUUUAUUUUUAAUACUUCGUGAUUUUCAUAUGUUUUUUCGUCUAUUAUAAAUUCUUCAUUGAUCAUUUUAUUUAUUUGAUAGUGUAUAGAUCAUGUUGAUAUAUGUAUUCUAGACUAUCUAUUAAGGAUUCUAAAUGUGAUAUUUCUUCCUUUUGUGCAUUUAUUGAUUUUUGACAUACUUCUACAAUCAUAUUAUAUUUUAGUCUUUCCCUUCUUAUUUUUAAUUUUUUCUAUUUUUCAGAUAUUACUUGUUUUAAUUCUAAAUUAUUCAUCUGUAAAUAAAUACUUGGUAAAUAAGUUUCAAAGUCAAACUUAAAUAACUCAUAAAUUACUAACUUAAAUAACUCAUAAAUUACUAUACAUACCAUCUUUACCUUUUAAAUAACUAGUGGUUUGAUACCAUUUGGAGGGGGCUACGGAGAACUCGGAUAGCUUAAAUAGAUCUAUUAUAACUCUAAUGGGUCUAUUUUUAUUUAUGCGUGGAUAUUUCUUAACUUCUCUAUUUUUAUUUUUAUUUAUGUUCAUAUCUUGGGGGUGAUUAGAUGGUAUUUGAUUAAAAGCUUUACUGUAAUAUUGUUUAGUUUUUUCUCUUAGUCUUUGUAAUUCUUCUAUAUUAUUUUGAAGGUAUUCUAAAUAUUCUAUAUCUUUUAUUAUAAAAUAUUUAAUUAAAUUCUCUUUCAUAAGUAUUUCUGUUAAUCUUAUUUCUUCCAAAUUUUGUCUCCAAUAUUUUAAAUAUUCAUAGUUUAUCAUUUUAUCCUAAAGUAGUUGUAAUACUGUGAAUUUCUUUGUAAUAAUUUAUUCUAAUUGUACUAUAUCUGAUAUUAAAUUCUAGGUUAUCUAUUUCGUUAAUUAUCCGGUCUUUUUCUUUUAUGAAUAAUUCUAUGUCUAAAUCAUAUUCUAAACUGUCUUUUAAUUUUAGUUGUUUCAUGGUUUAGUUUAUCCAAAUUACUCUUUCUUUUAAUUGUUCUCUUCCUCUUCUAAACUGGUUUCUAUAAUUAAUUUCUUCAUAUAGCCAACUCGACUGCCCGAGACUCAGAAAAUCAGACUGCUUGUAGUUCGACUAAUCAGUAGAAAAGAUAGUCUUUUAUUUCAGACGAUCUUUGGCUUGGAAUGAGUGACAAGUAUAUUGAGUUGUGAAAAAAGAGGCUUGGAACCUCUUAACCAUGAAUGUGAGAUCCUUCAUAUCCAUAGUCAAGAUCUUACCUAGACAUAAUUUCCAAAACUCUAAGUGUGUUGCCACCCAAAUUUAAAAAAAAGAGAAGAUUACCCUCGGUAUGAGUUUAGAAAUAACCCGAAAGUGAAUCUGAAAUUGGGAUAUCCCAAAAUACCCACAUGCCUUCUAAUAGGGGUGUGGUUAGAUAGUGGUGGUGAUCAUCCUUUAGCUCGCGUCCAGAGAGUUUGAUAUCCCUCUCUAGAUUAUAUCCCAUUUUACUACUAAGAAAGAGUUCUAUGUUGUGUUGCGUUCCAUUUGAAGUCGUCCCCACCUGUGGUUUUGAUUUGAGAUUUUUAUCCUCUCGGAUGCUCUCGAAAAUAUCUAAAACAAAAUUGUUAGUGCUAAACAUAAUUCAUGAAAGAGACGUAUAGUUUUUUACCAUAUCUCCAUGUGAGUUGUUGCCUAAGAAGCAAAGUCAUCCUUCCAUGUACCUAUUUGGAAUAAAAUAACUGGCAACGAAAAACACAACAACUAUUUUGGUUGUUGUAUAAUUAUGACAUUUGUCGGUUGAAUAUGUCUUCAAAGUGGGGUGGCCAUUUUUGACACCGACGAUACUUUAUGCAGAAUAGUCCCUACAACGAGUAAUCUUGUGCUGGUGUGGAAACCCUUUUGGUUACCUAUAUCACUUGUUGUACGUGGAAUGAUAAUCUCUCCGAUUAUAUCCAAUAAUUCUUUGCAUGUGAUCUCGGGUAAGUCUUGCGCAUCUUUUUAUCAAUACGACUUAUAGCUUUCCCUUAAAUUGACAAUCUUUGGAUAAUCUUACGCAUUAUUUGAUGUUGGAUAUGAGGUAACUUAUAGAUAUCCUUUGAAUUGCUAGCCUUUAGGUAAUCCUACACAUUAUUCGUCCUUGGAUAAGAGAUUACUUAGAGAUAUCCCUCAAAUUAUUAGCUUUCUGGUAUUUCUACACAUUAUCCGACCUUGGAUAUAAUAUGACUUACAGAUAUAUCUCAAAUUGCUAGUCUUUGGGUAAUCCUACACAUAAUCGAUCUUGGAUAUGAUGCGGAUUAUAGAGAACCCUUGGACAUUAUCAAUUUGAUAAUCUUCCAUAUUCUCCGAUAAGGAUUUAGUUGCUAAUUACGGAUAACCUUUGAACUAUAGAUUUUUGGGUGACCUUGCACACUAUCCAGUUAGGAUGUUGUUGUGUCUUACGGAUAAACUAUAGUCUAUCAAUUCAUAGGUGAUCUUUCACACUAUCCUAUUUCAAAUAAUAUGACUUAUAGAUGACCCUCAAAUUAUCAAUUUCUAGAAAAUCCCAUAUAUUGCUCGUCUUCAGAUAGAGACUUAAAGGCGUCUCUUCAAAUUACGUGCUCUUGAUGUGUUUAGAUGUUGAUUCAUAAAAAGAUAAGAUAUCCUCGACGCCAGCGUUUGUGUCUAACGUGUCAACAGAUAUUAAAUGAUGAUGAUAUCCUCGACGCUAAUGUUUAUGUUUUGCGUGUCAACAGAUAUUAAAUGGCCCUCUUGGCAAUAAUAUGCAAUGGCCCUCUCGACGAUGAUAUGAAUGGCCCUCUUGGCAAUGAUAUGAAAUGACCCUCUUGGAAAUAAUAUACAAUGGCCCUCUUGGCAAUGAAAUGAAAUAGCCCUCUUGGCAAUGAUAUGAAAUGACCCUCUUGGUAAUGAUAUGAAAUGACCUUCUUGGCAAUGAUAUGAAAUGGCCCUCUUGGAAAUGAUAUGAAAUGGCGAUUUUGGCAAUGAUAUGAAUGGCCCUCUUGGCAAUGAUAUGCAAUAGCCCUCUUGGCAAUGAUAUGAAUGGCCCUCUUGGCGAAUUGAAAACAGUUUUACCUGAGUUCGUUUGUUUGUGUCUUGCUUUCUACAUGUACCUGUACUCAAGAUAGACAAUUAGUAGAAACAAAGUUGCUUUUGCUAGCGACCAUCUUUUAAGAAAAAUUCUAAAUACAAUAUUUGUAAAGAAAAGAAGACGCCUUUGUUUGUAUUCCAUGAUCUCAAGAAAUGAGAUGGACAAUUCAAAAAGUCAUCGAUAAAUGGGUGUUGAGCCCGUUUUUGGGCUACCAAAAGUACCGUUCUUAAGUGUUAUAUGCUCUGGCAUAGCUCCCGACUUACUUGGGGAUUUUUCAAAAGAAACGCUCAUUUUUGUGUAUAGAUCCUUGCAUCCACAGAGAAAUGAUUAGUUUGAAUAAAACUACUCCGUGUCGACCUUCUUUGAUCCUUGAUUUGCUCCUUGCCAUCUUUUAGGUUCCCCAUCACAUUGGUACCUCCACCCUGAGUCCCAGCUCCCAUAGAUGCCUAGGCAAUCACUAAGUAAAAGAUUUGUAAAGAUUUUUUUUUCAAAUGUAGUCUUAUUUUUAGCAAAUAGCUUCGAAAGUAUCUGUAAAAGCUUUAGAAAAUCUCUGUCAGUCAUGUCAUGUACUAGCUCAAUGAAUGUCUUCCUCAUGGCUUUAACUAUAUCCGAUGGAUGAUUUCCAAAACUCAUGAUCAUUGUCGGAGGGUUCUUUAAAUUGUUCUGUCAUAGACAGAAAUUGAGUCUACCUAGACUUUGUCGCAGUUGGUGGCUUCAAAAUCUUGGCUAUAACCUCUGGUGCUGGGGAAUUUAAAAUAUAUUCCAGUACUUGGUGGAAAUUUUGAGGCCUCCCUCAAAAUUUCUUCCCCAGUUUAAAGUAGUCUGAGAUGAUAUCAUCUCAAGUGGACCUGAAGUCUUUGCUGAUCUUUAUUCUCUUUAUUGGAUGUUGAUCUUCUCUUGUGAAUUUUUGAGAUUCCUUCUCGAAAAUUCUGCCCCAAUUUCCAUUUCCUGGGGUUAUAUGACCGAGAUGUUGAGGCACCUACAUAUCCCGUUGAAGCAGGAAUCAGGUCAAACAUAGUUCAGGACUAUGUGAGGGAUAUAUAGAAAAAUCUAAUGGGUUGACUGAAGCCGACAUAGGCCGCCUACAUAUCUUAUUCUUGAGAAUUUAGGUCAUCAUGUAGUUCAUACAUAAAAAAAAAAAGAUAAAUUUUCCUAAGGGAUUGAACGAAGCUGAUAUAGGCUGUCUGCGCAUCCCUCUUUGGGAAUUUGGGUCAAACGUAGUUCGUACAUGAAAGAAAAGGAUAAAUUUCCUAAGGGGUUGAACGAAGCCGACAUAGUCCGCCUACGUAUCCCUCUUUGGGAAUUCGGGUCAAAUGUAGUUCGUACAUAAAAUCAUAAUGGCCCUAAAAAUACUUUUAUCCAUCUUACUAGGAUAUAAAUAAGUACUUCUAUGGAUGACAUGACGUUUGCGUUGCAUUUGUCUUGAUAGAACAAAGGAUCAAAUGUCCAAUGGAGUCAUCGCCUUCACAGUUAACCACCUUGGUUUCCUCUAGAUUAGGCUUUUUUGAUCCUCGAACUCUUUGACUCUUCUGUUGACUGUUCUAGGGAUACCAUUGUUUUUCUUCUUGACAUGACAUGACAAUAGCAGGUGUUAAGUUACUGUUAUACGCCGGGCGAUGAGUCAUGAGUGGAAUGGAGGUCCAAUUCAACAAUGUUUCCUCCAAUUAAUCUUCCAUGAUCUCGGUUAUCUUGGAAAAUUCCUCCCUUACAUUUUCCCUUAUUCCAUCCUCAAGACCAUCGCUUACAGGUUUGACAAAAUGAUUGGUAGAGUCCAUUUUUACUACUAGUCAUUUUUUUUCCUAUAAUAAAGCUAUAGUCAAGAAGGGGAUCUCUUAUUCAUUUGAUCUAGUGAAGUAUGGUAUUUUUGUGCCAACACAAUGUAGUUUCUAUUAUCUGCAAAGUAAAAAUAACUCAAAGGCUGACGUGUUAGAUUCUGUUAGCAAUAAGUAAAGGAAGAUGAUAAGGUAGGAAGUAAACAUAUAGAGUUGUUUCUCCUCUCAUGCGAAUUGAUCCAUAAAGUAAUGAUGAAUCAAAAAUUUCAAUGAACAGGAUUUUACUCAAUGAUAUAGAUAGGUAGAAAUUACCCAGAAGGCUCAACUUUUAUUCUUUUCGACCUUAUUACUUCUUUCAAGAAAGUGGAGGUCAAUAGAGCUUUUGGAGAUAUGGGGCCGGGCCAAAAAGCUACCUAAGUAUCUCAUAGGGUGAGAAAUUAGGCCCUACGUAGUUCGAAACUAUAAUGGCAUUUUCUGAUUCUAAAGUCAGCUUUCCUAAAAUGGUAGCGAUCAUUUUGAAAGUUUUAAGAAUUACUACGGACUUUUCUGAGAAACUUGGGAGACUUGGAGUACUUUUGGUCGGACUUUUGUAUAGUGGGGUAUAUUUCUGCCUAGAGAUGUUAUAUGGAAAAUGGAAUUGGAUCAAUUCACCUUUGAUUCAAAUCAACAUAACACGUAUAAGCACAUAAACAGUCAUAUUACACAAGCAUAUUAUAAUAAACGUGCAUCCUAAUUAGGUGACCCGUUUGAGCCAAGGGUUUAGGCCUAAUGAAUUUUGAAGAAAAUAUAUGCCUUUUUAAAGCCAAUCCAUUAUCCCCAAAAACCUUCAUAGGUAUACCCAAAUGACAUAAAUGUCUACAAAAGUUGCACAAAAGGGAUACAGUCUUUAGGGAAAGGGAAUAAUGUCCCAUGCAAGGGAUACUAAUUACUGAAUGCUUCUUCUAUCAGCCUUCACCUUCUUAACUUCGUCCAUCUCUUAUAUUGGUGACAUCCGUUGACGUUCAAACUAUGACUUAGAUGCAACCUCCCAAAUUGAUCAAUUUCUUGCUUAACUUUCUUCAGCUCUUCUUACGAAAGUAAGCAAAUCAACCUUUUUCCCGACCCCCAAAGGAUAAUGGAUUGAAUUAGACAGGCAUACAUUUUCUUCAAUACAUAAAUAUGGUUCAUCUAUAAUUGAGUAGGGUCAAUAGAUGCAGGGAAGGUUUCCUAAUGGUCCCAAUACCCCGCUCGGGUAUUGGGUCAUCCUAGGCUCAUGCCUAAAAUAGGGGUUUGGUUUCGUUCUAUCCUAAGUGUUUAGAGUGGGUUUGAACAUUGGUUCUUAAGCGGACAACUUGAGUUUGAAAAUAUGAACAGCCAUUAAAAGACUCACGUGCUAAUAAGUCGUUUGUAUUUUUAACACAUUAUUGGAAUUGAACAAUAGGGGUCGGGACAUCCAUGAAACCCUAAAACAAUGUAAAAUAAUGCAAGAAUAUGCCAUGAGAUUCGAUAGUUAAAAUUUACAAAAUCGAAACAUAUAAACACAAAAAUAGUCACUCAAAAGAUGAAAUCAAACAUUUGGUUAGAACCUAGUUAAAAAUCUCCAGCAGAGUCCUCAUUUCUGUUUUGUGGAAAUUUUGAUUUUUUGAGAGUCGCCACUUAAUUUUGAAAAGAAAUUAAGAAACCUUUGUAAUGUACUUAGACGAUUCAAAACAGAAAAAUCGUUUAAGUUAGAGAUUCGAGUAAGCGGUUUCUAUUAACAUUUUAGGAAGGUGUUAGGCACCUAAAACGUCCGCUAACUUGCGGUUAUCCGGACUGUUUGAAAACAACUUUUGAUUAACUUCUAAAAAGGAUUAAUUUGUUGAAAAGUGCUUGAUUUUUUAGAAAAGACUUAUGUAAAAUAAAUUUAGGCGACUUAGUAGGGAUUUUAACUAAGUCUAAACAAAACUAAUAAACAAAUAAACACAUAAAAGGGGGAAGGGAGGAGAAAGUAAAGGAUUUAGGCCAUUGGGCCCGAAUCAACGAGACCUAUCCUAGUCUAAUUAGGCUUUUGACCCAUUUUACCUGUCCUAAUCUAGUUUUUGAGCCAUUGGCUUGAGUCUUUCUCCACCUGUAUUGAAUUUACAACUUUGGCUUUGAGGCCCCAAAUGGAUAACUAAAGUAAUAAAUAAAUAAGACAAUGAUAAAUAAAUAAAUAAAUAAAUAAUACAACAAUGAAUAAAUAAAGAAAGAAAAGACUAUCAAGUCGUGUUGCCACUGCAAGGAUAGGGCUUUAAUCCAUUUUCCUUUUUCCAAUUUUCUUAUCCAUGCACUUAGACUCUCUUUCAGGCUUGACUCAAUGGAUGGGCCUUAUUGGUCCAUUAGAGAAUGCAAAGAGUCCGUUUGGACUCCAGCGAAUUGUCAUGCAAAAGAAGAAAGAAGAAACGAAAUUAAUACACAUCCAAAACAUGAAAUGCUACAUGGAGAAAUAAUAUAACAAAUUGAUAGACAAAUAGUCAACUGUAGUAAUUCAAACGAAUUGGGAGACAGUAAUUCAAAUAUGGCAAAGUAAUGCAAUCAAUAUAAUAACACACAACAUACUUUAUCAGGACAAAAAUUUGGACUAGAAGCAUAACAAUAACACAGCUUUUCAAAGAAAGAAUGAAGCAUUGAGUUGCAAAGCAGAAAGAAAAUUACGGCCGAAUUAAACUAAACAGGUUACAAAUCUAUGAUUUUUAUCUAAAAAACUACAAACCAAAUCUCAAAUCAAACCAACUAAAAAGAAAUAGUAAACUUAACACAAAAUAUGUAACGCCCCGUAUUUUGGGCUAGAAUAAAAACCAUGAUUUUGAUGCGUUGCUAAUCCCGAAGCCAUAAAAUCCUAUGAUAAUAUGUCAUGUUAAUUAUUGUGUAGCAUGUGAAUCUGAUCAAGCUUGAAUUUAGACCAUAGAGGUCCUUCAACUCAAGGAUGAGUUAAAACUAUUUCAAUCGACUAAGUUUUAGUAGACGUUGUAAAGUAUGUCAGCUUCCAUUGACCAUAACUCUUUGUGUAUGUUGAAUUAGGAAGCUUACUAUGUGUCAAAUGAUAGGCUUUCCAAUGAUACCAAUUUAGCUAAAAUCCAACACCCAAGCAAGAAGUUAUGGCUUUUCAAAGUGAUAAGCGCCGCCUAACCAAUCGCCCAAGGCCACUGGAAAGCAUAAGCGAUAGCCUAGGCCCUAUGUGAACAUAGGCGAUAGCCUAGGUGGCGCCUAUGUAAACAUAGGCGAUACCCUAGGCGGCGCCUAUGUGAAGAUAGGCGAUGGGAUGCGCGGAGCCUAUGUAAGGAAUUCUGGAAAUUUAAACACUCCGUGUUGAGGAAAAAAUGGUCCUUUUCCACCCUUACUUAGCCCUAAAAUAUGAGAUUUAGUUCCAAGGACCCCAAAAUACAUAUUCUUUCAUCAAAAGUGCUCAAGAUUCUUCUUAGAGUUUCAAAAUAAAAACCCAAAUAGUUUAAUAUUUGACCGUAGGUUUCCAAAGAUAAUUACAUAUUUGGAAUCACCAAUCCGCAGGCUUCAAGAAACAUCUAUUAUCUUUGAAAAUAGAGGUACAUGGGGUUAUCCAAAAAUCUCAUGGGUGUAGUUUUUAUGAACAUGCAUGCUUUUAAAUGGGGGUUUUCAAUCAUAUGCUAAUAUCUUGCUUUCAAUAUGAUUUCUAAGUCAUUUUCUUUAUGUCAUGGGAAUUGUUUGCCUAUAUACUUCAAUGGUUGAAACCAUGCAUAUGUGAUUUGAUAUUUUCCAUGGAAGUUGAUAAAUAUGAAUAAUAAAUUGUUUUAAAUUCCCAUGAUAAUGUUUUGAUACUCCAUAUUAUAUUGUGAUCAACAAAAGAGAGCAUGAAUUUGAAAUAAACAUUGUUCACCACUUGUAAAUGAUGAAGCACCUUGGUUUUUACAUGAUUAUGCAUAUGUAGAUGUGAUUUUGAUGACUUGCAAGUCGGGUAUGACGAUACCCUUCAGAAUACGAUAUGCGAUUGAAUAAGAUGAUAUUUGAAUGCAUUGAUUUUACAUGAGAAAGGUGGAUGCUCGAAGAAGGCGUUUGAGACACAAGCUGCUCAUUGCUGGAAGAACAUGUUUGCCGACAUGGAAUAUCGGUACCAUGCUUUGUGGUCUUGCGUACCUGAUAUUAUAUUAUCCCAUAUUGGGAUUAUGGUUAGGAGCCAUGCUUUAUGGUCUUGUGCACUACCAUAUUUGAUUUGGGUCGAGACACCAUGCUUUGUGGUCUUGUGUGUCUCUCUCUCACUUAUACUCUAAUCUCGGCGGCAACCGAGGUUUGACAGUUGGUGUAAAUUAUCUAGGGUAUUCCACCUAGCUCAGUUGUAUUUCAUUAUCAUUGAUAAAAACUAUUGCAUUAGACCCAUGUGUUUUCAAAUGAUUCGAUAUGAAAUUGCUUUAUAAUAGCUCUCAACUAUAUUUUGUAAAAAAAAUUAUGUUUUGCUUUGAUAUCUCUGCGUGCCAGUACUUUUGUGCUGACCCCCUCCCCUUUCCAACCUCUCAGGUUCAGAGGCCCAGUCUAGGGGUCAAAAGAAUCAGUAAAACUGUCAGACAGAGCUGUAGAGACAAGUGGUGAGCCUUCUAUGUUUCGAAAGGUCUUAUGUCCUGCAGUCCUUUUAUCUUAUAUUCAGUUUUUGGGUCUGUUGGGGGCCUUGUCCUAGUUUUCAGAUAGACAUUGUUUCAGUCAUUUGUUAGAGAUUUUCGCAGACAGUUGUUUAGAGUAUAAUUGACAUUGAGGGAACCUUAUCUCCCCGUUAUUGUCUCUUUUCAUAUUUAUGACCAUGUUUCCGAAUUAUUGUGUUUUUCCAUAUUUCUUUGAUCAUAUGAAUUAGAUGCAUGAUUACCAGACAGAUAGGGUUGUUUCAGGCCUCAAUGGUUUGAAAUGCUCGUCACGGACAGGCCCUAGUUUGGGUCGUGACAAACUUGGUAUCAGAGCACGGUUCAUGAUCCCAAGGUAUCUGCAAAAUUGCAUCAGGUAGAGUCUUAUUUAUGGGUGUGUAGGGCGCCAAACUUAUAAGUAGGAGGCUACUCGGCAUUUAGGAAGUAUUUCCCUACUUUGUGAUUUAGUUCGUGCUUCAGAGUCUGAACUGUCCCCUAAUCAAUGAUCACUUGUGUUUCAGAAACACAGUUAUGCCUCCACGUUGUAUCAUCGAUCAGAAUGCUCAGGCAGAUGAGGUCCGUCCCACCCAUGGGAUGCGGACCCAUAAUAGGGCUCACACUCCAGAAUUUAUCCCUUCUCUGGGAGUCCCUCUAGUCCCGACCAGUCCACCUCGGGCUCCACAGACUAAUGCCAACCAUCCCCUAACUGCUCAGGGAGAUAUUUCAAAUGCAUAAUUCAGACGGUUUAUUCAUAUGCUGACACAGUUGGUAGCUAACCAGGCUCAAUGAUCAAAAGAUGUUGGGUCUACAUCUGUUAUAUCUGAGGCUACUAGAGUCAGACAUUUUAUAAAGAUGAACCCACCUAAGUUCACUAGUACCAAGGUGGAGGAAGAUCCAUAGGAGUUCGUGGAUGAGAUGGAAAAGAUCUUUAAGGUGAUGCAUGUGGAUGAGGUUGAAGGGGUGGAUCUAGUAACCUACCAGCUCAAGGACAUUGCGAAUCAGUGGUAUGCCGACUGGGAAGAUGAAAAAGGUGAAAGUGCUGAGCCCACAGUUUGGGGCGAAUUUGUGGAAUCUUUCCUUGAUCGAUUCUUUCCUAUGGAGUUGAGGGAGGACAAAGCAGAAGAGUUUAUGAAUCUGAAGCAGGGCAGUAUGAGUGUCCAGGAGUACACUUUGAAUUUUAAUAAACUAGCCCGCUAUGCAACAGAGUUGACUAGUAAUAUGAGGGCCCGAAUAAGGAAAUUUGUAUUUGGCCUUACUGAUGACCUGGUACUUAAGUGCCAGGGGGCUAUGUUGAAUAAGGAGUUUGACUUUGCUCGACUGACCGUUCAUAUGAAUCAAGUGGAAGAGAAGAAGAAAAAGACUGCUAAAUCUAAAGAGAAAGACAGACAGGCUAAAAGAGCUAGAUCUAUGGAUCAGCACCAGAGUCAGUCGCAGAGUGGUAACUAGGGUAAUAAGUGGUUAAAGAAGAAGAAGUUUUGGAAUAAUGCACAGUCAGUAGCCAGUGCCCCAGCACCCAAACUACUGACAGACAGACAAACUUAGAGUUUUCAGACUCUUCAUGGGUCCAAAGCUCUAGGUACACAGUCUCAGGGCAGUGUGGCCCAGCAGCGGCGUACUCAUCCGCAGUGUGAGGUUUGCGGAAGGAAUCAUCUAGGGAAGUGCUAGUUUAAGGGGAGAAACUGCUAUACUUGUGGCAAAGUGGGUUACAUUCAGAGAGAUUGUCCAUCUGUUAGAGUAAAUGCGAGGGAGGCUAAGUCCUAAGCCACCUCUACAGCUCCUUUUCCUAAGUGUUCCCCUUCAGCUACCGGAAGUAGUCGCAAUCGGUUAUAUUCGUUGACUAACUGCCAGGAGGUGAAAGCUUCACCAGAUGUUGUCACCGGUAUGUUACGAAUCUUUUCUCGUGGUGUUUAUGUAUUACUUUAUCCCGGGUCUACUUUAUCCUAUGUGACCCCUUAUGUGGCUGUUGGUUUCGGGUUUGAGCCCAAAGUUAUUGUAGAACCCUUCUCUGUUUCUACUCCUGUAGGUGAUUCUGUUGUUGCUAGAAGCAUAUAUAGAAAUUGUGUCGUGUCUGUUCAUAGUAGGAAAACUGUGGCAGACCUUAUAGAACUGGAUAUGAUAGAUUUUGAUGCCAUUCUUGGGAUGGACUGGCUUCAUUCGUGUUAUGCCACCCUUGAUUGCAGAACCUGAAAGGUCACUUUUUCAUUCCCAAAUGAGACACCAUUUAUAUGGGCAGGGAGUUCUGAAGAACCUAGAGGUCACUUUAUCUCUUAUCUUAGAGCCCAAAAGCUUAUCUCCAAAGGGUGUAUAUAUCAUCUAUCCGAGUAAAAGAUUUAAAAGUUGGAGACCUUCCUCUGCAGUCAGUCCCUGUAGUGAAUGAAUUCCCAAAAGUCUUUCCCGAAGAUCUCCUAGGGAUACCCCCUGAUAGGGAGAUAGAUUUUGGCAUUGAUGUGUUGCCAGACACUCGUCCUAUUUCUAUUUCGCCAUAUAGAAUGGCUCCCAUGGAACUAAAAAAGUUAAAGGAACAGCUUGCAGACCUCCUAGACAAAGGUUUUAUUCGUCCUAGUAUUUCCCCAUGGGGUUCUCCCAUGCUCUUCGUGCGAAAGAAGGAUGGGACCCUUCGGAUGUGCAUAGACUAUCGUCAGUUGAAUAAGGUCACAAUUAAAAAUAAAUACCCUCUUCCUAGGAUUGAUGACCUUUUUUACCAGCUUCAGGGUGCGAAGUGAUUUUCAAAAAUAGACCUUCAUUCAGGUUAUCAUCAGUUGAAAGUUAGGGAGUCAGACAUACCUAAGACAGCCUUUCGAACCCGAUAUGGUCACUAUGAAUUUCUAGUUAUGUUCUUUGGGUUGACUAACGCCCCUGCAGCCUUCAUGGAUCUUAUGAAUAGAGUGUUCCGUCAGUUUCUUGACUUGUUCUUCAUUGUAUUUAUUGAUGAUAUUCUGAUCUAUUCUAAGAGUAAAGAGGAUCAUGCUAAUCACCUUCGAAUUAUCCUUCAGACCCUUAAGGAUCAUCAGCUGUAUGCCAAAUUUUCUAAGUGUGAAUUCUGGUUAUAUGCUAUUGCCUUCCUGAGGCAUAUUGUGUCCAUUGAUGGGAUAAGAGUGGAUCCCCAAAAAGUUGAAGCAGUGAGAAAAUGGCCCAGACCCACGACUCCAACCGAUAUUUGGAGCUUCUUGGGUUUGGCGGGGUAUUACAGAAGGUUCAUAGAGAGUUUUUCUUCCAUAGCUGCUCCGCUNNNNNNNNNNNNNNNNNNNNNNNNNNNNNNNNNNNNNNNNNNNNNNNNNNNNNNNNNNNNNNAUUGAAGGACAAGCUGACUACUGCUCCUGUUUUGACCCUUCCCGAGGGUGUAGAUAAUUUUGUGGUUUAUUAUGAUGCGUCCCGUGUAGGACUUGGUUAUGUAUUGAUGCAGCGUGGUAAGGUGAUAGCUUAUGCAUCUAGGCCGUUAAAGGCGCAUGAGCGUAAUUACCCCACUCAUGACUUGGAGUUAGCAGCCGUGGUGUUUGCACUUAGAAUCUGGAGGCACUAUCUCUAUGGAGUGCAUGUUGAUAUUUAUACUGACCAUAAGAGUUUACAGUAUGUUUUCUCACAGAAAGAAUUGAACCUCAGGCAGAGGCAUUGGAUGGAGCUUUUGAAAGACUAUGAUAUGAGUCUGCAUUACCAUCCAGGCAAGGCAAAUGUUGUAGUCGACGCCCUCAGCAGGUUGUCUAUGGGCAACCUUUCUCAUAUAGAAGAAGAAAAAAAAGAGAUGGUGAAGGAUAUUCACUGCCUUGCAAAUAUGGGAGUGCGACUCUUAGAUUCUGAAGAUGGAGGGGUGAUUGUUCAUGAGUUAGUGAAGUCAUCUCUUUGUGCUGAAGUUAAGGAGAAGCAGGUUGAAGAUCCCAUCUUGAUGCAAAUCAAGAAAGAUGUGGGUCAAUAAAAGGUUAUGUCAUUUGAAAUUGGUGGCGAUGGUAUUCUAAGAUUUUAGGGUAGGUUAUGCAUUCCGAAUGUCGAUGGGCUACGGGAAAGAAUCCUUAAUGAGGUGCAUACUUCGAGGUAUGUCAUUCACCUAGGCUCUACUAAGAUGUACCAUGAUCUGAAAACCUUGUAUUGGUGGAAUAAAAUGAAAUGUGAUGUAGCUGAUUUUGUGUCCAAGUGUUUGAACUAUCAACAAGUGAAGGUAGAACACAUUAGGCCGGGUGGUACUUCCCAAGAUAUAGCCCUGCCUUUAUGGAAGUGGGAGAUGAUAAAAAUAGACUUUAUUACAGGACUUCCAAGAUCCCGAAACCAGUAUGAUUCUAUAUGGGUGAUUGUAGAUCGGUUGACCAAGCCAGCCUACUUUUUUCCUGUGAGGACUAAUUAUUUGGGAGAGGUUUAUGCUAAGAUUUACAUUGAAGAGAUAGUUUUAUUACAUGGGUCACCAGUGUCCAUUAUAUCCGAUAGAGGUACGCAGUUUUCAUCUCAGUUUUGGAGAUCCUUUCUGAAGGGUUUAGGUACACAAGUGAAUUUAAGCACAACUUUCCACCCUCAGACGGAUGGGCAAGCUGAGCGUACCAUUCAGACCCUCGAAGAUAUGUUGAGGGCAUGCGUCAUUGAUUUCAAAUGUAGUUGGGUAGAUCACCUUCCACUGGUUGAAUUUGUUUACAAUAAUAGCUACCAUGCCAGCAUCAAGAUGGCUCCUUUUAAGGCUUUGUAUGGGAGGAGAUGUAGGUCUCUGAUAGGAUGGUAUGAAGUGGGUGAGACUCAUUAUAUGGGCCUAAUCUUUUUCAUCAGGCGAUGGGGAAAGUGAAAAUUAUUAGAGAACAACUCAAGACUGCUCAGAGUCAUCAAAAGUGGGUAAGACUCAGUUGUAUGGGCCUGAUGUUGUUCAUCAGGCGAUGGAGAAAGUGAAAAUCAUUAGAGAAUGACUCAAGACUACUUAGAGUCGUCAGAAGUCCUAUGUCGAUGUUCGGAGAAGAGAACUAAAGUUUGAAAUUGGUGAUUGGGUAUUUCUCAAGGUUUCUCCUAUGAAAGAAGUUAUGCGGUUUGGAAAAAGGGGUAAAUUGCGCCCUCGUUAUGUAGGGCCAUAUCAGAUUUUGAAGAAGAUUGGUACAGUUGCAUAUGAGUUAGAAUUACCUGCAAGUUUGGGUUCCGUUCAUCUAGUAUUCCAUGUAUCCAUGUUGAAGAAAUACAUUAGAGAUCAUUCUAUGGUAUUGCCAGUAGAGGGUAUCAAAGUAACAGACUCCUUGUCUUAUGAAGAAGAGCCCAUUGAAAUUUUAGAUCGCCAAGUUCAAAAGUUGAGGAGCAAGGAGAUAGCCUCAGUAAAGGUACUGUGGAGGAAUUAGAAAGUCUAAGAAGCAACUUGGGAGUCAGAAGAUGACAUGAGAAUUAGAUAUCCCAAUUUGUUUGCUUCGAUAGAGGAGGAGACAAAAGGUAUUAUUCCUAUCUUAUCUUUCCUAGUCCAUUAUUAUGCUUGAAAUCAUGUUUGCCUGUGUCCCGCAUCAUCAUUCAGGAACGAAUGAUCCUAAGGGGGGGAUAAUGUAACGCCCCGCAUUUUGGGCUAGAAUAAAAGCCAUGAUUUUGAUGCGUUGCUAAUCUCGAAGCCAUAAAAUCCUAUGCCAAUAUGGCAUAUUAAUUAUUGUGUAGCAUGUGAAUCCGCUCAAGCUUGAAUUUAGACCAUGCAGGUCCUUCAACUCAAGGACCAGUUGAAACUAUUUCGAUCGACUAAGUUUUAGUAGACGUUGUAAAGUGUGGCGGAUUCUAUUGACCAUAACUCUCUAUGUAUGUUGAAUUAGAAAGCCUACUAUGUGUCAAAUGAUUGGUAUUCGAGUUAGCUUUCCAACGAUACCAUUUUGGCUAAAAUCCAACACCCAAGCAAGAAGUUAUGGCGUUUCAAAGUGAUAAGCGACACCUAACCAAUCGCCCAUGGCCACUGGAAAACAUAGGCGCCAAGCGAUGCCUAACCAAUCGCCCAUGGCCACUGGAAACCAUAGGCGAUAGCCUAGGCGGCGCCUAUGUGAACAUAGGCGAUAGCCUAGGCGGCGCCUAUGUGAACAUAGGCAAUAGCCUAGGCAGCGCCUAUGUAAACUUAGGCGAUACCCUAGGCGGCGCCUAUGUUAAGAUAGGCGAUGGGAUAAGCGGCGCCUAUGUAAGGAAUUCUGGAAAUUUAAAAACUCCGUGUUGAGGACAAAAUGGUCCUUUUCCACCCUUACUUAGCCCUAAAACACGAGAUUUAGUUCCAAGGACCCCAAAAUACAUAUUCUUUCAUCAAAAGUACUCAAGAUUCUCCUUAGGGUUUCAAAAUAAAAACCCAAAUAGUUCAAGUUUUGACUGUAGGUUUGUAAAGAUAAUUACAUAUUUGGAAUCACCAAUCUGCAGGCUUCAAGAAACAUCUAUUAUCUUUGGAAAUAGAGGUACGUGAGGUUAUCCAAAAAUCUCAUGGGUGUAGUCUUUAUGAACAUGCAUGCUUUUAAAUGGGGGUUUUCAAUCAAAUGCUAAUAUCUUGCUUUCAAUAUGAUUUCUAAGUCAUUUUCUUUAUGUCAUGGGAAUUGUUUGCCUAUACAUGGUUGAAACCAUGAAUAUGUGAUUUGAGAUUUUCCAUUGAAGUUGAUAAAUAUGAAUGACAAAUUGUUUUCAAAUUCCCAUGAUAAUGUUUCGAUACUCCAUAUUAUAUUGUGGUCAACAAAAAAGAGCAUAAAUUUGAAAUAAAUAUUGUUCACCACUUGUAAAUGAUGAAGCACCUUGGUUUUUACAUGAUUAUGCAUAUGUGGAUGUGAUAUUGAUGACUUGCAAGUGGGGUAUGACGAUACCCUUCAGAAUACGAUAUGCGAUUGAAUAAGAUGAAAUUUGAAUGCAUUGAUUUUACAUGAGAAAUGAGGAUGCCCGAAGAAGACGUUUGAGACACAAGCGGCUCAUCGCUGGAAGAACGUGUUUGCCGACACGAAAUAUCGGUACCAUGCUUUGUGGUCUUGCGUACCUGAUAUUAUAUUAUCCCAUAUUGGGAUUAUGGUUAGGAGUCAUGCUUUGUGGUAUUGUGCACUACCAUAUUUGAUUUGGGUCGAGACACCAUGCUUUGUGGUCUUGUGUGUCUCUCCCUCACUUAUACUCUAAUCUCGGCGAAAACCGAGGUUUGACAGUUGGUGUAAAUUAUGUAGGGCAUUCCACCUAGCUCAGUUACAUUUCAUUAUUAUUGAUAAAAAGUAUUGCAUUACACCCAUGUGUUUUCAAAUGAUUUGAUACGAAAUUAUUUUAUAAUGGCUCUCAACUAUAUUUUGUAAAAAAAUUAUUUUUUGCUUUGAUAUCUCUGCGUGCCAGUACUUUUGUGCUGACCCCCUCCCCUUUCUAACCUCUCAGGUUCAGAGGCCCAGUCUAGGGGUCAAAAGAAUCAGUAAAACUGUCAGACAGAGCUAUUAAGACAAGUGGUGAGCCUUCUAUGUUUCGGAAGGUCUUAUGUCCUGCAGUCCUUUUAUCUUAUAUUCAGUUUUUGGGUCUGUUGGGGGCCUUGUCCCAGUUUUCAGAUAGACAUUGUUUCAGUCAUUUGUUAGAGAUUUUCGCAGACAGUUGUUCAGAGGAUAAUUGACGUUUAGGGAACCUUAUCUCCCCGUUAUUGUCUCUUUUCAUAUUUAUGACCAUUUUUCUGAAUUAUUGUGUUUUUCUGCAUUUCUUUGAUCAUAUGAAUUAGGUGCAUGAUUACCAGCUAGAUAGGGGUGUUUAGGGCCUCAAUGGUUUGAAAUGCUCGUCACGGCCAAGCCCUGGUUUGGGUCGUGACAAAAUGCUAGGAAACUACAAUUUUCAUCAACAAAACAAAUCAAAAUAGUAAAAUUAAACCAACUGACCAGGUAGGAAAAGUUUGAGUCCUAACCGAAUUAACUUGACUGCUAAAAUAUUUUUCGGUAAAGGUAUUGCAAAACUCUAAGAGUUUUAGGACUUUAUGAGCAGAAACGGGGUCCAAAAUAGCAUCGAAUUAAGUGACAAACUAAGAACUAAAAUAUAUUGUUAAUGUAAACACUGAACCAAUUUGCAAUGAUUUAUAUAAGGUAAAAGUAAGGAGAAUCUUAACAUUUUUAGGUUGACAGGCAUGAUUAACCAAAGGAACAAUAAGUACCAUGAUGAACUAAAAGUGAGAUUUCUAUGACAAACAGUGAAAUAAGAUGAACAUUGAUCAAACAACAACUGUAACCAUCAUAAUCAAAUAUCCUACGGCCACCUUCUAUAACAAACAAUUCCGACAUGAUUACGAUCAAUUGAUUAUGACUCUAUUAACAUAAAAAUAGUGAAAUCGUUCAAAAGCAGUCGAAUUGAAAACCUCAAAACAAUUAUCGAUUCAAUGGAAUAACAACCAGUAACAAGAUAAUCCUACGGGCUUCAUAGCCAUCUACAGCUACUCCCAAUAAACAAUCUUACAAUUACGACAUUACAAAGAAGGAGACGGAGAAAAAGAAAACCAUAAUAGAAGUUAAAACGGAAAAAAUGUUUACCUCUUUUGGAGCAGUAAAAUGGGGUAGUGGGAUAACACCGAACUCUAUCACCACUGGAGAAUUCUUCCACGACUCCAAAAUCUCCGAGCAUCCCCUAACCUUCCUUGGGAAGAAGAAAUUUUAUACUCAAACAAAAAUACACUGGAUUUUUUGCUCAAAAUGACGUUUUCACCUUCCGAGACUUGUUUUCAGUUUCUCUAAAGUGAGCUACUUAUAGAGAACAAAAUGGGGUUGAUUUUGAGCUCCCACCGAUGUGAGAACACCAAAUUUUGAGGGCAAUCCUAGAAUUUUCUUUGAAAUUUGAAUUUUAAGGCAAGGGAUAAGGAUCGGGUAAGCUGGAAUUAUACGGUUCUUGUAUGAAUUUGAAGAUAAAUUUGAGGGAUUUGGAAUAAUACCGUUAUGGAAUCUCUCUAGAACUUUCUCACACACUAGUCUCGUGCACAACACGUUAUUUUAAAUGGAGGGACUCGGGUCGGAGCUCGUCGGGUCUGAUUUGUUGACACCGUUGAUGUUGCUCGUUGUUUCGAAUGUUGUUGUCGUUUUUCGAUUGGAGUUGAGGGGUUUUGAUGUUGUAAGUUAUUGUUGUUGUUUUGUGUUGUACUUGAGAAGAAAGGGAAUAAUAUGACUUGGUUGGGCCGGGUCAGUUAAUGUUUGGGCCGAGUGGUUGGGUCCGUUUUUGUUGGUUUGGGGGUUAUUUAAAACAUAACCCCCAAUUGAUUUAAGAUUUUUCCUAAUUUAAUAUUUCGAUCAAAUUGAAAAUUAAAUUGGUCAAAUUGCAUUGUGAUUGUAGCCAAUUGAUUUCAAUUAUGAUCGAAUUUAAUAAAUUUGACUAAAUUGAAUCAAAAUUUGAUAUGAAUUAAUACCUCAUUGAAUCUCGAGCUUCUUGAUUUAAUAAAAUCAACUAAAUAUUUUCCAAAAAAUAAAUUAUUUUCAAUAAUAAAUUAUAUUUAAAUAAAAAUUUUAAUUAUUUAAAUUUAUUUUCCAAAUAAUCCUUAAUUUGAAGUCCAAUUUUGAUGAAAAUAUUCAUUUAAAUGAUACCAUCUAUACAAUGUCGUAUAUAAAAAUAGAAAAUAUAUAAUUAUCACUUAAAUGCCAAAUUUAUCCCAAAUAAAUAUUUUAAAAUGCAUUUAUUUGGAAAAAAUAAUUAUUGUAAUUUUAUUUGAAAAUCGAAGAAACUCGAGAUUAAACAUAGUUGUGGAGGGCAAAAAUUAGGUGUCAACAUUAAGUACAUACAAAACAAGUAUUUUAAAUUUAUCUACCAUUACAUCUGAUAAGUAGGUAGUCAUUCUUUUUCAUAUGGUACUAUUUCAAAAUAUUCCUUCCAAUCAUAUACAUAAAAAAAUAUGAUCAUAUUAGAUUACUAUGUACUAGAUUAUUCUUAAAUAAUUAUGUUACUUUGUUACUAUUAGCAUGGUAAUCUGGAUACUUUUCCCUUAAACAAUGCCUUUACACUGGUUACUCCCCGAUCACGGCUUUCUUGCCUCACCGGUUUCACCUUUAAGAGGACAUAGUUCUUAGGAAUUUUUCUCCUUUUCCUCUUUGCUAAUAAACUUUGUAACAUAUUAUUCUUCGAUUAAUUCUAAUAUAUAGUAACUAAUAUGAACUUAUUUUAUCAUAUUAUGAUUGUUAGGAAUUUAUGAAUUUUUCUAUUCAUAAUCAUAAAUGAAAAUACCUGUUCUGGUAGGUUUGAUAAUUCUGGGCUUUGUUCAUCCAUAGCUUUACCUUUGAAAUAUACCUAUUUUUUAUUAAAUAUUUAAAAGUCGUUUGUGUACAAGAGGAGGCUUGCUUAAACUCAUGAAAUCUUUCCUUUAACUUAGCAGGAUGGCUAACAAAUUUAUAAGAGGAAAAGAACUAUUCCUACUUUACACGUUUUACACGUAAACUAUAUACCUUUACAAAAAAGUCUUCCUUUUCAAAAGUAGAAAAGGACUACACUUAAGCUACACUAGACUAGACUUAAAGUAUAAAAAUACAAAACUUUAAUAAUGGCACCUGCCAAAAAAUUCUAACCUAAUAAAGCUAUACAAUAUCUUUACGUAAAGUAAAGUCAAGAAAACUAUUCAUAUGUUUCUUUCUAUCUUGUCUUCUUUGUCUUUAUUUUUUUAUUAUUGCUCCGUUGCUUUCUAUCUUCUUUCUAUCUUCCAGCUGGCAUUCUUAUCUUCUUUUAUUCUAGUUGAACUUCCGGGAUAAUAUUAUCUUCUCUAUGACAUCUCGAACAUAAAUGGUCUGGAUAUUUGUGUCCAAUUAACUUGCAAUAUCUUGUUAAUAAUUUUUUUGAAAUAAAUCCCUUCCUAAUUGUUGUUGCAGUUGGUUGUUUUUCUGGAUUGAGUAGUGUCAAAAUCCAUUGUCUAGCUUCUUCCAUAUCUGACUGUAGUAGUUCCCUUGAAUUUGAAUAAAUCAUUUGAUGAUCUCUUGAAUAAUAGCUCCAUAUAGGGUUUCCAUUUAGGUAGUUAUUUGAUAAUUCUUGAACAAUUGAAGAUAUUCCAAUAAUUUAUUUAUAUGCAUACAAAUCAGGUAUCUCAACUUUAGGUCUUUCUGGCUAUUGAACAGUAUCUUUCGGUAUGAUCAUAUCUCUGGUUAAUCCUAUUUUUACAACUUGCAUAACUGGUUUGAUCUCAUCAUAUAAUAUCUCUGCUGGUGCAGUAUAAAACUUUAUAAAAAAUAGAUUCCCUUUGGUUAUUAUUUUAUAAGUGGCAAAUGCUUUAUAUAAUUCUGGUAAAGCUAUUAGUUCAUCUCCUUCUUAGAUAUUUAUGGUAUUUAAUAAUCCAUAACUGAAAUAAGUUUUAACUAAACUUGGGUUGGUUUUCGGUAAUGCGAUUAACUUGUUGUAACCUUGUAAUUUUUGGGUUAUAUAGUUUUUCUUUGGUUCUUGGAUAUUUGUAGCUCUGGGGUUAAGGUUUAGAUAAGUUUGUAUUUUGUGGAUAUUUUCUAUGUAUGCUCGAGUUAUAUGGUUAUAGGAUUUUCUAUCUUGGUUUAAACUUUCUCGAUAUGUGGUAGUUUGUGGGGGUAUGAACAAGGGUUUUUUUUGUAUUUUUGGUAUAAAUGGUUUUUCAAUUAUCUUAUUCAUGUUCAUGUUCUGAUAUCUUUAUCCACUAACUCCUUUUCUUGUACCUGUAAUUGUAGAUUGAUAAAUGUUAUGGGUUUUAUGGAGUGUCCCAACAUCUCCUUUUAGCUCUGGAAUUUUGAUGUCUUCCGAUAGACAUAGCUUUGCAUUUUUAUAGUCAUGCGGCUGGUAUACUAGCUUUUUCUUUCGCGUAUCUACAAUCGAUUAUAGGUUCUUUUUGGCUUACUAUGUAGUAUUCUUCUUUCCGCCUAUUAAAUAUAUUCCUUAUUGUUAGUAUUUUAAAUAUUUUUCUACACUUAAGUCUAAUAUUUUUCCUUUUAUUUCUUCAACUAUAUUACUAUCAAAUAUAAUUUUAUGGUCUAUUUCUUCUUCAUUUAAAUAUUCUUUCUUUUUUAUUGUUUGUAUAUUUUCUUCAAUCAUUUAUUUCAUCUAAUUCGCUAUCUAUUUCGUUAUCUGUUUAAUUUUUGAGAUUUCAUAUAUACUAUCUUCACUUUCUAAUUCAUAAUCUAUAUAAUUUAUUUGCAUAUAUUCUAUAUUUUCUAUCUUUAUUUAUGAUAUUUGUUUCUUUUUUGGAUCUUUGGGUACUUUACAAUCUUUAGCCAGGUGUCCUAAUUUUUCAUAAUUAUAACAUUUAAAUUCUUUUAUGGAUUUCUUCUUUCUAUAUGGUCUUUUAUGUUUAUAGUCUUUUACGUAAUAUCUUUUUCUUGAGUUUUUAUAUUUAUAUUGGGAUUUCUUAUAUUUAUUAUAUUUCUUAUGUCUUUUUCUUUUCUUGUAGUAUUUUUUUUCACAUCCAAAUUGGGUGCUUUUUUAUCUUUGCAACAUACUAAAUUCUUUAUUAAUGUUUUUUCCAUUUUUAAUUCUUCCCUAUAUUAUUCACAUAUAUUCCUAUACAUUGUUUAAAAAAAUUUAUCAUUGCUCCUAGAGUAUCUUUUAUUUUUGCUUCAUCCCAAUUUUUUAUUAUUUUUGAACUAAAUGGUUCAGGUAGUUUACUAAAAUAUAAUCUCCUUAUUUCCUUACUUUCUUCUACAUUAUAUUUUCCCUUAUAAUAAUAUUCUUUGAAUGCUCAUGUAUAUUCAUCUAUGUAGCACAUAUUACAUAUUGCUAAUUUCAACAUUAAAUUCCUAUUUGUAUCAUUUUCUAUAUUUUGUUCUUUUUCUUCUGUUUCUAUACAACUAAAUUCAUUUUUUAUAGCUGUUUCAUAUGUUUUUUAUAUUUCUAUGGGUGAUGCUUUUAUUGUUCCUUCUUUAGUUGUUCCUUCUGUAUUUUUGUCAAAUCUUAGUACCUUUUUACUUUUUCAGUUAAAUUUGAUAGCCAUAAUUUUACUGUUCCUAUUAGUGUUCUUUCUAUAUAUUNNNNNNNNNNNNNNNNNNNNNNNNNNNNNNNNNNNNNNNNNNNNNNNNNNNNNNNNNNNNNNNNNNNNNNNNNNNNNNNNNNNNNNNNUUUAAAUCGUCAAAAUUAUAUGUUAAUGGUUUUUGAGUUAUUAUGCUAUUUUUAUCUAUUAAUUCAAUUUUUAUAGUAGUUUCAUGUUUUUUCCAUCCUUUUAAUGGAUCUUUAUUGUAUAAUUGUCUUAAUCUUUUCUUUAUUAUUUCUACCUUAUCUACUGAAAAUAUAGUUAUUUCUUUUUCAUUUAUCAAAAAUACGACUAGUUCUAUAGUGUCUUUUGUAUUUUUUACAUUUUUUAACUUUUGUGUAAUUUUUUCACUUCCUUUUGUCCAAUCAGUUUUCUUUUUUAUUUUAUUGAUAACUCUUUUUGCUCUUACUUUUUGUUUACAUGGUGUUGUAAACCACCAAUCUGUUUUAGUUAUUAUAUGUGGGUAUAAUUUAUUUAAAAAUGGCAUUCCUAAAAACAUAUCUUUUGAUGUUAGUUCAUAAUUAUAGAUUUCUACUAUGUUAUUAUUUUAUCCCAUAUCUGUAUUUUUACAUUUUUAGUUUUAUAUGUAAUUAAACUUUCUUCAUUAUUAAAUCCUUUGACUACUAUUGGUAUUUUUAGCUUAUCUCAUUUACCUUCUGGUAAACAGUUGUAUCUACAUAAGUUUGCUUCUGCUCCUGUAUCUAUCAUAGGUGUAUAAUACAAAUUAUAAUAUCCUUCUACUAUUAUUUUUACAAGUACAUAUAUUUUCAUAUCAUGUCAAAGCUCUUUUUAUUAAUAAUUUUUCUUUAUUAUAUGUUAUAGAUAAUUGUGUAUGUUCUAUAUUGUAUGGUUUUACUUGUUCUAACCAUUUUAUUCCUAAUAUUAUGUCUGCUUUUUGCAUAUCUUCCUUUAUUUUAAAUUUUAUUUUUAUUUUUCUAACUCCUAUUAUUAAUUCUUUUUCUGCCAUAUCCUUAUUGUUUAUUAGACUCCUUGGUAGAUCUGGGCAUAUAUUACCAUUUGAUUUUAUUUAUUCACUUUUUACUAGAUAUUUUGCUAUAUAAUUUUUUUCUUGUCCUGUGUUUAAGAGUAUUAAAUAUUCUUUUUCAAUUAUUGUUCCUGUUAUGUAAUAUUGAGUUAAAUUAACUGUUGAAAUUGUUUCAUAAUUUGUUUUUUUUUAUGAGCUUGAUGAUUCUGAUUUUUCAUAAGCUAUUCUUUUUGUUGUACUUAUUCUAUCAUUUAUUAUUUCUAAAUCUUCUUCUAUAUCUAUGUCUUUGUAACUAUAAUCAUUAUUAUCAAUUCUUUUUACAAAUUAUUCGAAAGGACUUUCUAUUUGUAUUUUAUUAAUUUUAUUUUUUCCCGUUAUUAUAUGUUUUGUUGUUAAUACAUAUAGAUUUUUACAUCUUGCUGUAAAUAUUUUACUUCUUGGGGUUAGUUCUAUUCCUGAUAUUUUCUAAUAAAAUACUAAUGAUUUACCUAUGUUUUAUCUCUUAUUGCUACUGGAUAAUUCACACUUAUUAUAUAUUUAAAUUUUUGGUAUAUUAAAUUUCCUCUUAUGACAGUUAUUAUACUUUUUUUAUAGGUUAUAUAAUUCUAUCAUCUGCUAAAUAUAAGUCUAUUGGUGUAGCUAUUCCUUCUCUAAAACAUGUUUUUAUCAAUAUCUCUGUUCCUUCAAGGUGUACAUAUUUUAUUGGGUCUUUACUUUUUGUAUCAUUUAUUUUUUUAUUAAUUAUUCUUUUUGUUACUAGUGGUAUACUAGCUCUUCCUUUUGCAUAUCUACAGUCAAUCACAUGUUUUUUUUGGGCUUACUACGUAGUUUUCUUCCUUUUUUCUACUAAAUAUAUUUUUUAUUAGUGGUAAUUUAAAUAUUUUUUACACUUAGGUCUAACUCUUUUCCUUUUAUUUUAUCAAAUAUAUUAUUAUCAAAUUUUAUUUUUUGAUCUGUUCCUUCUUCAUUUAAAUAUUUUUCCUUUUUUAUUAUUUUUAUAUCUUCUUUAGUCAUUGGAUUCAUCUAAAUCGCUAUCUAUUUCAUCAUCUGUUUCAUUCUUCGAAAUUUCAUAUAUACUAUCUUCACUUUCUAAUUCGUAAUCUAUAUAUUCUAUUUGCAUGUAUUUUGUAUUUUCUAUCUUUAUUUCUUAUAUUUGUUUCUUUUUUGAGUUUCUAGGCAUUUUACAAUCUCUAGGUAAAUGUCCUAGUUUUCCACAAUUAUAACAAGUAUAUUCUUUUAGAGAUUUCUUUUUCCUAUAUGGUCUUUUAUGUUUAUAAUUUUUUACAAAAUAUCUUUUUCUUGGUUUCUUAUACUUAUAUUUUGAUCUUUUGUAUUCCUUAUAUUUCUUAUGUCUUUUUCUUUUCUUAUAAUAUCUUUCUUCAUAUCCAAAUUGAGGUGUUAUUUUAUCUUUGCAACAUGCUAAAUUUCUUAUUAAUGUUUUUUCUAUUUUUAUUUCUUCUCUAUAUUUUUCACAUAGAUUUCUAUACCAUUGUUAUAAAAAUUUUAUUCUUGCUCCUAGGGUAUCUACUAUUUUUGCUUCAUCCCAACUCUUUAUUAUUUUUGAACUAAAUGGUUC